ACAUCUCUUUGUAUCCGAUGCGCGAACGACGUAAACAAGGUAAAGAUUUUGCUGUCAAACUAGGGUCAACGCGGUCAAACAUUGUAAAGAAUUUUUCCCAUGCAGGCGCGCAACAAAGUUGGCUACCGCUCUAUUCCAGUUUCCCCCGCAAAGCAGAUCCAGUUAUUGAAGAAUCCGGCUAGACAAGUAUGCUGAUAUGGUGGAUUUUCUCGAUCCUUUCUGCGACGGGUUGAGGUUGGGUCAUCUGCUGCUGCUGCUGGGACUGGGACGGUGUCGAGGAUAUCGCGACUUCAGGUCACAGGACAAAACGGCGCAGGAAGGAAGACCGGGAAGACCUUUCGUGCGACACCGGAGUAAUGAUGACUAGGAUACGUGCGGCAUCGGAGUAAUGGUGCAGAAAUUCACGCCGGCACCGAUACCGACUUCUGGGUCGGUUAUGUCCGGCUGUAUAGGAUCAUUUAUAUUUUCCGAAGGUGUAAACACAAUAAGUUAGUUCAGUAGUGAAUUAUAUUUAUGUGAUCAA